GGAGCUUAUGUGGAACACACAGUUAAAAAGAACGACCGCAAUAUGUCCCAUCCCCUGGGGAUUUUGGUUAUUCUCUGUUACCCAGAGGGUCAUGAAAAGUCACCUUACAGUGUUUUAUAUAAACAUUGCAUUUUAUAUAUAUAGAUUAUAUUCUGUAUACUAUAAGCUUAUCUUCCAUUUUAAAUUAGUGAAAAAUGAGUACUUAUCAAAUAGUCUUGUCAAUAACAGAAAAGAUCCAAUAUAAUUCAUUUUUUAUUUAUUUCAAGGCUUUUUUUUUAUUUUGAUGGAGAUUAGAGUAAAAGACAUAGAUAAUCAAUUCAUUAUUAAUUCAAUUAAUUAAUUAACCCAUAAGUGGUUUUAGCAGUCUGAGAGUCCAC
rnacentral:lncRNA from 1 species